CUGCUCUGAGGAGACUUGGUUGAAGAGGGGCUGGAGCAGAGUUGGGGCACCAGGAAAAGCUCCUGGGAAUGAGCAGACCAAGACGGGCUUGACUCCAGGGCUGACUGUUGCUUGGGGGUCUGGUGUUGGGGUUUCCUUCGAGGCCAGCUACCAAGAAAAGCCUAGGAGCUGGCAGAAGGUGGGAGACCUGAGGAAGCUCCCUGUUCCCAAGGGAGCAUGAAGGACUCCACGGCCUCUUUGGACCCCAUGUUCUCACCCCUCCUCCUUUGGCCAAAUCGUUGCUGGGCUCGAACUCAUCAGAUGUUGGAUAGCUGGGAGGGAAGGGGUGAUGCCAGAGAGGUGCCAAGUCCAGGAAAACAAGAGAAGCACUCUGUAGAAAGGUGUUGUUCGCUCUGGUGCAGGGAAGAGAGCUGGUGAUCUGGCAGGGAAGAUUGCCCUACCUCCGGAUACCACUCCCUUGUGGAGGUUGCUUCACAUCCGUGACCAAGCCCAGAGGCAGCUGAGUGUCAGUGAUGGGCAAAGUGACCAGCCAGGAAAGCAUGGGUGGGCCAAAUCCUGAAGUUUCUACUGAUCUGGAGUGCAUCCAUCGCUGGGAGACCAGCAUAAAGACUAGGCUGUCCUUGUCUUUCCACUGCUCUGUGGCUGAGAGGCUCACUGUCACUGAAGAGUUUGAAGAGAUCCCCCUACUAUUGAAAAGAGGACCUACAAUCCUAAACCACACACCA